rnacentral:tRNA from 1 species
AAAAACUUAGGUUAAUUAAACCAAGGGCCUUCAAAGCCCUAAACAAGGACCCUCCCCCCCCUUAGUUUUUG